CCACGUAAAUCUCGGUGUGAUUUUUAUUUUUCGCAUUUAUUUUUAUCGCAUUGAGAUUUGUGGUUUUUGGCCAUUACACCUAUUCACCCCACUCUAGAUGUUAGAUACAAUCUAGAUCGAUCAUUGGGCUCCCUCAAAACUUAUAAUUGGUACCAGAGAGGAAUCUAGAUAAAUUGAUAUCUAAUGGUCGAAGGCGGUAACAUUAAUCGACCACCUCUCUUCGAUGGUACGAAUUAUGCCUAUUGGAAAGUUUGCAUGAGAGCUUAUUUAAUUGCAAUCGAUGAGCGGGUAUGGCAAGCAAUCGAAUUCGGUUGGAAGCAUCCUACCGAAGUCGUCGAUAAUGCUACCGUUCCUAAACCGCGAAACAAGUGGACGAAAGAUAAAAACGAGUCAUCUUCGUUUAAUGGCAAGGGCAUAAACGCUUUUUUUAAUGCAUUGUCACAAACGGAGUUCACUCACGUUUCGACGUGUAAUACCGCCGAGGAAAUUUGGGAUACUCUACAAGUUACGCAUGAAGGAACUAGCUUAGUAAAGGUUCAAAAAUUACAAAUAUUAACAAGUAAAUUUGACUCGAUUUUUAUGGAAGAAAACGAGACCUUUACCAAGUACUAUACGCGUCUACAAGACAUUGUUAAUACAUGUGCGAACUUGGGAGAGAAAAUCCCGAAUGCUAAAGUUGUUAGAAAAAUUCUUCGGACUCUUAGCAAAAGUUGCCGCAAUCGAAACAGUAAAGCAUCCGGACGAGAUGAAAAUCGAAGAGUUAGUAGGUGCUUUGCAAACUUAUGAGAUGACUUUCCUACUAACCAAUCUUCUUCCAAGUCUUUUUCUAAAAGUACAGGGAUUGCACUCAAAUCUACAAAGGAAGAAGACGAUGACUCGGAUCCUGACGGAGAUAUUUCGCUCGUUGAUUUUGAAAAUCAACUGACGCUCUUAACGAAGAAAUUUCGACGGAACUUUCGGAAAAACAAAGCUUCAUCCUUGAAACAAAAUUUGUUUUCUAAACAAUUUUCGAGUUCUAAAUUGAAUGACAAAAAACUUGCAAAACCUUCUAAAGAAAAAAAUGAUUUUGAAGGGGAAAUCCAAUGUUACAAAUGUAAAGGCUACGGCCAUAUUUCCACGGAUUGUCCUUCUAAAAGAUCUUACAAACAAAAGGCUUUACAAGCGAAAACUUGGGACGAUUCUCCUUCUGACGAAUCGACCUCAAGUGAAAAGGAGAAAAUUAAUGUUGCUUUAAGCUCUCAAACCUCUAUACCUCCCUCUUCGACUUUUUGUUUAUCUUUAAUUAUUUCUGACUCUUUUGUUUCCCCUUCCUUGCAUGAAACGUCGAGCGAUGAUGGCCAGAGUGAGGGGGAGUCGGAUGAUAAAAGCUUGGCCGAGGCAUACCAACAACUUCUCGAGGAAUCAAAGAAGAUGACCAAGCACAACAAAAGGCUAAGAAAACGACUACUUGAGCUUGAAGAUAAGAAAACUGACUUGAAGAAUGCAUCUAAAACUCUUGAGGAGGAAAGGGAGCAAGUAUUGAAUAAUAAUACAAUUCUCCAAGAGAAGCUCAACCAAUCGGAGAUAACGAUCAAAUCACAUCAAGAAAAGGUUGGUUUUCUAGAACAACAAUAUGAAGAAAUUCGUUCAUCCAAUCAAGUUUUGACCAAACAAGUUUAUCAACUUAAAUCCGACAUUCAAAUGUUUUCCCCGGUUCGAAAAAUCUAGACCAUAUGCUCGGAUUGGGUCAAACGGAUAAACUUGGGCUUGGUUACGAAAGGACUUAUGUUGAGAAUGAUCAAAAGGCAAUUCAUAAAGUCUCAGCAAAUUUGAAAUAGAAAAUUUGCCAUAGAUGUGGUUGCAAAGGACACAUAAAGAAAUAUCAACCGGCAUUGUCUAAGCAUCUAUCGGCAUCUUCCAAUACUUGAUUUCCCCCACGGAUUCCAAAACAACAUCAAUCGAGUCGCGCACCUCCGAUCAACCAAAAGUCAAAACAAUCGGUACACAACUACAACAAAUCAAGACAACCGAUAAUCCAACAAGUUUGGAUUCGAAAAGGUGAUAUCUUUCCUUGUCUUAAGUCUUAAUUUGUAUUUGACUUUAUGUUUUGCUAUGAUCGGUUUUAGUGCAUAUCUAUUGAUCAUUGCAUUACAUGUGCUUCAGAUUUUUUUCUGGAUCAUUUCGUGAUUAAACAUUAAAUAAUGUGUUGAACGUCGAUAAUUUACAUUCAUUCGUUUUGAACUAAUUUCAUAUUAAUUAUCGGUUUCACUUUAUUAUUACUAUUUAUGAAGAUAAUUUAUAAUAGAAUAUCUUAAUUCUUAUAUUCAUCAAAUUUGAGUAAUCAUGUGUGAUCUUUCGGCACUUAACUUAUCUCGGUUGUAUGUGUUGAAUUUGAUGAAUGAAAAUUUGCUAAUCGACUAAAACUUGUCAAAUUUUCUUUCAUAUAAGAGAUUGCAUAAUUAAGGGGGAGUCAUGUAUAAAAAUAUAAUAAAAAGGAGAAGAAAUACUCAUAUGCGUAAAAGAUGUGGAAAAAGUUACAUCCUAAAGGGAGUGUGAAAACUACCACCACAUGUAGGAAAGAUCUACCAUCUCGGUCAUUCGGUAAAUGUGUGAAGUUACCACAUGAAAUUCUACUGCAUAACCGAAAGGUUGAAAAAAAUGUUCAUAUUAUAUAAAGAGUUUUCGGUGUAAUAAGGUGGUUUAGUAAAAAGAUGCUCAAAGAGCCACCCCUGGUACAUUAUUGCUUGAUCUCGAAUUUGAACGUUUAUACGACAAAUUUCUGUCAUUUGGUGAAUCUUCAUAAGUCAUCUUUAUAAUCCGUUACAUCUUGAUAGAUUUUGAGUCUUUAGAUUAUUUUUGAUGACUUGAUUUUGAAGUAUAUAUCGAUAAAGAAAUUUUAGUAUAUUUUACCUACAUCUUGGUGAUCUUGUAGUGAAAUUCUUAAUUUCUAUGAAAUUGAUGUGGAUUGAAUGAAGUCUAUGUGAAUUUAUCCUAUUCAUGCACUAACAUUAUUAGUACUCUCUCUAUUUUGGUACUUUCUUUUGGCAAUUUUUGACAAAAAGGGGGAGAGAGAUAAGAUUUUAGAUUUUUAUGAAAAUGAAUGAAUUUCAAUUUUUAUUGAUCAUUAGACGCAUGAACAAAGGGGAAGAGAUUUUCAUUUUUUUUAACUAACUUUGUUCAAGGAGAAAGUAUUCUUUCUGCAGAUUCUUGAAAACUUCAAGACUCCUUGUGUUUAAGUCAUAGAGUUUGUUUAGGAGUUGCAAAAUUGUAAUUUUGUAUUUUCUUUGGAUUUUUCACUCGAGAAGUUCAUUGUUUUGGUGAUGGAACUGAAUUUUAUUUUGUUUAUUGGUUGGAGAGUUGAGCGUUGUGAGUAUUUUGAUGUAUUUUUGAGUUUUGUCACGAAAUUGCCAAAGGGGCAGAUUGUUACGGAUUUUAUGUUGACAUAAUUCGUGAAGUAAGUCGGAGUCUUGAAAGUUUGAAGAAGAAGAGAUGAAGAUCGAAGACUCGAAGACUCAAAACAUGAAUGCACAAUGCUCGAAUCCUUUCACUUGUAGGCUUUGGAGAAGGAUUAAAGGUGGAAAACUUGGUGGUUUGGUGGAAAAUAGGCUCAAGAACAAGGAGGGUCUUGUGGAGCAAGAAGCUAAGGAAUGGAGAUCCAAUAUGAGUUUGAUCUCUCAUAUUUCUAAUUGAAGGUUAAACCGACGCAUUGGGAGGCUCGGAUCGACGUUCCGAAGAGUCGACGGCAAGUUAUUGAUGAAAAUCCUUAUUUUACUUUCAUUGUCGUGGGUUGAGAGGAGUAGAUGUCUAAAAAUUGCGGGACUUGAUUUCUCGCACUCUGGCAUCUCUACGAGGUGGUGGUGCUAUCCGAAGUCUUCAAAUGACCUAUUAUGUUUUUGUCA